GUUUAGUAUAGGCACUUUUUCAUAACAUUUUAGCUUAUUUAGGUCUAACGUGAUGAUAUAACAUAAAGUGCAUAUUUCGCUCUAAUGACCAUAUAAUAAAAACAUUGCAACUCACCAUGUUGCUGAAUCAAUGGGAGCCCUGAGCUUGUUUCCCGGUGUUGUGCCGAAAAAUUUAAAUUUAAAAAAAUAUAUUCCAAGAUAUAUAUCACACUCCACUUAUCUCUUUUCCUACAUCAGAUAUGUAGGUGACAUUUCCACGUGGAUGACAGCACAUAAUCAGCAAGACGGAGAUGCUCUUCAUCCGAGAUGACCUGAGCCAACUGUGCCACUUCUGUGGGGAGGUGGACAAUAAUGAGGAAGACACUAACUGGAUUGGUUGUGACCGCUGCCCACGAUGGUUCCAUCAGUCCUGUAUGAAAACCAUCCCAUCAUUGGAGGAUUGUGUCUUUGCUGCCUGUCAGCACUAGGUUAGACUUGAGUUCCAGGUGACUGUAAAACUUUCCAUAAAAAGUGGACUAAAUGCUCAGUCGAGCUGUUGCAGCUUUCCAAUAUUUGUUUGUUAUAUAACUUAUUAUGCAAAG
rnacentral:lncRNA from 1 species